CACUCCUACGGGAGGCAGCAGUGGGGAAUUUUGGACAAUGGGCGAAAGCCUGAUCCAGCCAUGCCGCGUGCAGGAUGAAGGCCUUCGGGUUGUAAACUGCUUUUGUACGGAACGAAACGGCCUUUUCUAAUAAAGAGGGCUAAUGACGGUACCGUAAGAAUAAGCACCGGCUAACUACGUGCCAGCAGCCGCGGUAAUACGUAGGGUGCAAGCGUUAAUCGGAAUUACUGGGCGUAAAGCGUGCGCAGGCGGUUAUGUAAGACAGUUGUGAAAUCCCCGGGCUCAACCUGGGAACUGCAUCUGUGACUGCAUAGCUAGAGUACGGUAGAGGGGGAUGGAAUUCCGCGUGUAGCAGUGAAAUGCGUAGAUAUGCGGAGGAACACCGAUGGCGAAGGCAAUCCCCUGGACCUGUACUGACGCUCAUGCACGAAAGCGUGGGGAGCAAACAGGAUUAGAAACCCCAGUAGUCC
rnacentral:rRNA from 1 species